UCUUAUCCAUCAGCAAAUCUUGUUGGCUGUACCUUCCAUGUGUAUCCAGAAUUGAACUUUAUAUGACCUUCACUGCCACCACCAAGGUCCAAACAACCAUCACCUCCUGCCUGGAUAGACUGAAUCCAAGCCAGAUGUUCCUUGAGAAGUUUCAACUAACAUUGCUGAAGAUCGGUUCCCAAAAAGGUAUUAGCUGAUUUUUCCUCCUAUGAAUGAAUUUCUGAUUGCACAACUAAAAAAAAUGACAAUUAAAUCCAUGGAUUCUGUCUGAGAAGCAAAAUUGCUGAUACUUCACAUUAAUGUCAGUAAGAAUCGAAUAAAUAGGUUCUAUGAUUAAGACUUAGCAAUGAGCCAAGUGCAAUUUGCCCUCCAGACUUUUAGCCGUGAGAUGCCUUUGUUGACAAGGGAGUGUCUGGCUUUUGAAUCAGUGGGGCACCUUUUGGAGGGACUCCAGGUUCUCUUGACAACAGGACUUUUUUUUUUUCUCUCUUUUUGGUGAGCCGAAAGGACUCCUCACCAUACAAGGCCACGGCUGAGUAAAGUAAUUCUCAGUAAGGCAUAAACCACUGGCAAGCCUCACAUACCAUAAUAAUAAUGUUGUACUGCAGCUGCACAAGGUCCAGGGAAUACAUUUGGGGCACAAAAUUUCUUUCAUUUUAAUACCUUCACUGUAUGAUUCUGUUCUAAGAAUUCCCUUUCCUUUUCUUCAUUGAUUAUUUAUUGUCCUAAAUCACCAUCUCUUUGAAAAGUCCUCACAGGGACGCAGAUAUUUUCCAGAAUUGCUAAUUGCUGAUUUGAAAGCAUGAAUUCUCUCAUCUCAUCAAAUCGGAUUCUGUGUCUUAAGGUCAGAUCAGCCUUUCUAAGAAUCUUGUAAAUCUCUACCUUUAUGCCAAAAUAAAUUUUGAAAUAUUUCUUUUAUCACGGGUAAUGUACAUGCACCUGUAAUCC
rnacentral:lncRNA from 10 species